AUUGAACGCUGGCGGCAUGCCUUACACAUGCAAGUCGAACGGCAGCGGGGGAGAAGCUUGCUUUUCCUGCCGGCGAGUGGCGAACGGGUGAGUAAUACAUCAGAACGUGCCCUGUAGUGGGGGAUAACUAGUCGAAAGAUUAGCUAAUACCGCAUACGACCUGAGGGUGAAAGUGGGGGACCGCAAGGCCUAAUGCUAUAGGAGCGGCCGAUGUCUGAUUAGCUAGUUGGUGGGGUAAAGGCCUACCAAGGCGACGAUCAGUAGCUGGUCUGAGAGGACGAUCAGCCACACUGGGACUGAGACACGGCCCAGACUCCUACGGGAGGCAGCAGUGGGGAAUUUUGGACAAUGGGCGAAAGCCUGAUCCAGCAAUGCCGCGUGUGUGAGGAAGGCCUUCGGGUUGUAAAGCACUUUUGUCCGGAAAGAAAUGGCUCUGGUUAAUACCUGGGGUCGAUGACGGUACCGGAAGAAUAAGGACCGGCUAACUACGUGCCAGCCGCCGCCGUAA
rnacentral:rRNA from 1 species